AUUGAACGCUGGCGGCAUGCUUUACACAUGCAAGUCGAACGGUAACAGGUCUUCGGAUGCUGACGAGUGGCGAACGGGUGAGUAAUACAUCGGAACGUGCCCGAUCGUGGGGGAUAACGCAGCGAAAGCUGUGCUAAUACCGCAUACGAUCUACGGAUGAAAGCGGGGGAUCGCAAGACCUCGCGCGGACGGAGCGACCGAUGGCAGAUUAGGUAGUUGGUGGGGUAAAGGCUCACCAAGCCUUCGAUCUGUAGCUGGUCUGAGAGGACGACCAGCCACACUGGGACUGAGACACGGCCCAGACUCCUACGGGAGGCAGCAGUGGGGAAUUUUGGACAAUGGGCGCAAGCCUGAUCCAGCCAUGCCGCGUGCAGGAUGAAGGCCUUCGGGUUGUAAACUGCUUUUGUACGGAACGAAAAGGUCUGCCUUAAUACGGCGGGCCCAUGACGGUACCGUAAGAAUAAGCACCGGCUAACUACGUG
rnacentral:rRNA from 1 species